rnacentral:rRNA from 1 species
AGAGUUUGAUUAUGGCUCAGGAUGAACGCUGGCGGCGUGCAUAACACAUUCAAGUCGAACGGACUGAUUUGUAGCUUGCUACGAAUGAAGUUAGUGGCGGACGGGUGAGUAACGCGUGAGCAACCUGCCUCUGUGUGUGGGAUACCGUCUGGAAACGGACGUUAAUACCGCAUAAUCCAUAGAGAUCGCAUGGUUUUUAUGGCAAAGAUUUAUUGCACAGAGAUGGGCUCGCGUCUGAUUAGGCAGUUGGUGAGGUAACGGCCCACCAAACCGACGAUCAGUAGCCGGACUGAGAGGUUGAACGGCCACAUUGGAACUGAGAGACGGUCCAGACUCCUACGGGAGGCAGCAGUGGGGAAUAUUGGGCAAUGGGCGAAAGCCUGAACCCCCAGCGACGCCGCGUGAAGGAAGACGGUCUUCGGAUUGUAAACUUCUUUUAUAUGGGACGAUGAUGACGGUACCAUAUGAAUAAGCCACGGCUAACUACGUGCCAGCCGCCGC